CGCAUUUUUAAUGCUUGUUAUGCUCAUUCAUAUUGAUAAAUAAUAAUAAUUACAACAAUCAUUCUGAAAAGUUCAAUUUAUUUCAUAUAUCGACAACAAAAAUAACCACUAAUCCAUAAUUUCAUAGUUACCAACAACAUAACAAAAUAAUGUAAACUAUUUGAACCGUAUAACUAGUGUUAUUUUGUCUAAUAAUUAGUGAGUUAGAUAGCUAGCUAUAAUACAAGACAAUAAAGGGUACAUAAAAACUUCUGACACUUGAACAUAUGAUGAAGUCUUCCACAUGUCAAAUAUUUCGACAUCAUAACCUGAAAUAAUAAAAUAAGAUGGAUAUCAACAUUAUUUAUGAUAGGACAUAGUAUUACUACUGCUUUAUAACAUUUGACUACUAACAAUCAGACUCUGCACUUUGUCUAUGCACUUAUUUGUAACAAUAGUCCUAUUUGCAAGAAAUUAAAUUGUACAAUUUCGAGCUGGAGAAUAAAAGUAUAGAUCCCAAAAUAUAUGUGCUUCAAAACUUAGAUAUGCAUAAGAAUAAUUUAAAGAUAUUCAACUUAAAGUAAUUGGUUUGAAUCUAAGCUUUCAUGAGGUGCAAGCNNNNNNNNNNNNNNNNNNNNNNNNNNNNNNNNNNNNNNNNNNNNNNNNNNNNNNNNNNNNNNNNNNNNNNNNNNNNNNNNNNNUUAUACAUCUUUUACUUUUAUUUGUUUUGUUUUUGGUUAAGCCCGCUAAAUGAAUAAGAGAAAUUACAUGAAGUUCCUCAAAUAAAAAAUGCAUAGAGGAGUACAAAAUCUAUUUUAAAUUAAGACUACAUAUUAAAAGUUUACUUGGAGAAAGAAUCAACAUUUAUAAACUAAAAUCCUCGCUAGCUAAGUUACAAAUUAAGAAGCUUCAAAGAGAGCAUACUAAUAAGUAGAGUAAUGGCACUGAAUGUUGUAACCAUGACCUAUUAUUUCUUAUGCAGUACAAAAUAAACAUUUACAGUGAAGAGUGCAGAAACGGGAAUGGGCUUUUUGAGUGUUUGUACAUACUUGUUAGAUUUGCCAGAGAAGAUUUCAGGGAUUGAGAAUUCGAUUUGUUGUUCCUAUUGUAUAACAUUUUGCUUAGUAAAGUAAGGUGGUAGAGUUUUCUACCGCAUACAACAAAAGAAAGUUGUAAAUGACCAAACUCGUAUAUUAACAUUCCAUGGAGUACGCAAACAAUCAGAAUGCAAAUAUCGAUGAAAUGAAAGACAAAAACUCAUGUCGAACCUGGCUUGUUGGGUGUUUCUUGUUUUGCUUUCUUUGCCAGAGCCAGGAGCUACUUAGGAGAUGGAGCUGGUCUCUUUUUCUUUUCAACCUUCAUCAUAAAACAUCAAUCACAUAAAAGACGAUGCUAAUUAAGAUAAAUGUAGGCUCACGAGAAAAAAAUGAACAAACAUAAAGAUAAAAAAUUUAGUACUACCUCUUUUUGAUGUAUCUUCUUCUAAAUCUUCAUCUCCAUCCAAAUCAUCAAAAAAAUCCAUUACUUAAGGACCAUAAAAAUCCUAGUAAUCCAAAAUUUAAAAAAAUUAUGUACACCCAGAAAAAAUAUAAGAUAAAGCAUUUCUCCCUGUAUUAAAAGGUAAAAUCUACAUAAUAAGCAUCACAAAAAACUUUAUGAAUGGCACCAUGGCUACAGGCACAUCACUGGAGACAUCAUCACUACCAUCUUCAAAAUCAUCAUCAUCUUUGUUAGAUGUCGGUUCUUUUUUUGGUUCUGCCACCUUCGCAUUUUUCUCAAUAAAUGCAACCUUAGUAAGUGCAGACUUUUUUGAAUCAUGCUUUAUAUCCUUCACAUUAUCCUCAAGUUUUCCAUUUAUGCAUCUAAAACAUUCUCUUCAUGUAAAAAAAUAUCACCUCUAGAAUCAAUUUCAUCAACGCUCAGAUCAUCAAUUGUGCAUACAAUUAAAUACACACUCCCAUUUGUUUUAGUCAUGACUCAUGUAAAAUUUUAAACUCCUUUUCAAGGACCAAGUCAAACAUCAACUAAGGUCUAUCCUCUGCCGGUAGAGUUCCAAUGAUGUAAUUAUUUUCUCCAACAGUUAGGCGUAGAGGAACAUGUUUUACUUCUUUGGCAUACUUCACUUCAUCUAUUGCAGCCUACAAAAUAAAGAUCCCUAAUAGCCAUUUAAGAGUAAAGCCACAUUAUGCUAGCUUGAGAAAGAACACAAAUAUAAUUUAUUUAUUUUUAAAAAAAGAAAGCUAACCUUGUAAAUAUGAAUGAGCUUAUAAAGUUCAGGCUUGAUUUAGAAAUCGUCUUACUUUCACUUCAACACCUAUACAUAGCUCAUGUGAAAGAUAUGUCACACUUUAAUAAAUUAUGUUCAUAUGGUGUAAUUUCUGCAUCAUGAAAAUAAUUGACCAAAACCAUGUUAAGGUAUAGAUUAAAAAAAUAAGCACAUGUAUCAGUGGUUCAAUUUAUGUAUACAUAUACAAACCGAUCUAUACCUUUUUCUAGUUAUUUGGUUUUGAUUCUAGUAUGCAAUUUUAACUCCUAUUUUCUCUGCAUCUAGUUGCUAGAAACAUAAAAAAAUUCCUUUAAAUGAUACAAACAUCUGUAGCAGAAAAAUCAUGACGUCUUAAGCCUUCAAGAUUCAAUCCAUGAAGCUUAACUUUUUUUCUCAGAUACAAUAAUAUACUUUGGAACAUCGUUAGAAACCUGGAGAACAAAAUAACUAAGAUCCUAAAAAGAAACAUAUGUGAUCUUAAAUAUAGUUAGUGUGUUGUAGUCGUAUAAUAUAUGUGCUUUCAAUGUGAGAAAUGUAGAAGAACUAAUUUUAAUAUAUUCAACUUAAAGUAAGUGGUUCGAAACUAAACUUUAAUGAGGUGCAUCUCACAAACAAACUUAAAAGUAUAGCAAUUACAGAUGUAUUGCUAUCUUGAAUUAUGUUUGCAUUUAGGAAAACAACCAAAAUAUGAAACUAUUGAUAUCUUAAUUUAUCAUACGAGGAGUAUUGAGUCUUUCAAAGAAUUAAAAGACAUCAAAAAUUAAGAAAGAAUCUUACCACUGAACCACCACCAAGGAAUGAAAAAGAACCAAUACGGUAAAUUAAUGAACAACAAUAGCUCCUGUAGUGUGGCCGUAGUCCUGUAUGUGAAGAAUUUAAAUUAUCAUCUAUCAGUUAUACUAAAUUUCCAGAAUAGGUCAUGCUUCAUGAAAAUGACUAAAACGAAAUAGUCAACCACAACAUGACCUGCAAGAAGUGUGGUGUUUUUCACUAGAAAGCAAUACAUAUUUUUUCAAUACGUUAAAACUAAAGUGUAUCUAUUUGAAGAUACAAAGAUUUAGUUGGUUGUGUAUAUACAAGGACAUCAAUUAAGAUUUCAGUCUCAAGUUUAUUCAUUUCCAAAUUUUCUAUAAUGGAUCUAAGAACGGAUUGAAGCUUUUAUCUGUAAGAGUUAUUAGCAUUCCACACAAGUUGAAUUAGAUUAGCCUUUUAUGAAACAAAUGCAUUAAUACUACAAAGUAGAAAUAUAUUCUUUUGCUUUGAUAGCUCAUUUAUUUCCUAUUAGUAUAGUAAAUUUUUAAUCAAGCAUGAGUUCAUGUAGGAAUUUUUUUAUCCCUUAUAAACUUAUUAGUGAAUCAAAAGCUACUUAAUCUUUGCAAGAGAGUGAUAAGCAGUAUAACACAAUUAUAGCAUCCAAAUUACAAAUGACAUAAUGCAUGAGGGAUAUCAUAAUAAAAUCAAAUUUCCUAUAACUUCUGGGAUUAUAUUUAUAGGAAAACAAGGAAUUUCACCUCAAAGGGAUAAGGGGCAGAACACAUAGGGUACAACCUCCACUAAUAAUACUGAUAAUUAUCACUAGCGAUAGUAAUAUUUUUGAGAUAGAACAAGAAAUAGUAUUGUUAUACUUGGUGGAUACACUCUACUCCAAGAUUUUCCUGAUCGGGACCUAGACUUUAGGUACUUUCUUAACACAUGAAUUUGUACAUCAGCAAAUCUACACAGGAAAGAAGCACAUACAUGAAGAAAGUAAUCUGAAGAUCUCAUUCAGUAACCUCUAAAAAUUCAUAAGCAUUUUUAUUUCUAAAAUCUUAUACUCUUAGGAAACAUAAAUUGAUUGGAGUACACACACUAAUUCACCAACCUCUAAAAUUUCAAGAGAAUUUAGAUUUCCUAGCUUCUUACAAUUCCGCAGCAAUAAGACUCAAAGUCCUUCAAAUAUCGAUAGUUGAUGUUUGGAUAAAAGACAACUAGAAGGGACACUCUCCUCUCAUCUUCAAUGUUUCUCUCUUUGGUGAAUUCAACAUACAUAAUCUAAUGUUAUUCCUGUUUGAUCAAAAUAUUCAUCCGAGAACCUACGUUAUUUGGUAAUCAUACAGACAUAUAUUCAUGUGUGCUCUAGUUAUAUACAAACAUGAUUAUUCAAGAAAUCACCAUCCAUGUUUUUUACAUAACUUCAAUUAGACUACAGAUCACACAUUAGUCACCUUAUAAUGCAAUAUAUAUUGAUGUUUUCAAGAAAUUAAAACAAAUCUCAAUCACAGAGAGAUCUGAAUGCUAUAGAUUCAGGUAAAAAACAUCAAUUUUUAUUAAUGAUACACAGAGAACUUCUGAACAACCAAAGUAAAGAUAAAAGAAUCGGCGAAACAGAGGAAUCAAAUCAAGUGAUUUUCCAUCAAUUCAACAGCAGUCAGAGAUCAUAUAUUAUGAUUUAACAAACUCAAGAAAUCUAUAAUUUCACAAAUCAUAGAUUGCCAUAGUUAGACAUCACAAAAUGCAAUUUGACAUGGUAUCAAGUAUUUCGGUACUUGAUAAGAAGAAUAUUUUACCAAAAAAGACCAAAAUGUUAAGGAGAAGAAUUAUUAAGGUAACAAUCUGAAACUUACAUGAAUGUAGAAGAUGAAGAUGAUGACAAGGAGAAGAUUUAAACAUCGGUGGUUCAGCAAUAUCGACCUAAAGUCAUGACUCUGACUAUAAAUAGAUGAUGUCUAGUGAUGGGUAAGGCUACCAUAGAAGAUGAUCAGCGUAUAUGGCAGUCAUGGUGCCGCGAGGCGGAGAGCUUUAGAGCAGCAAUGUGGAAUUAGAAUGAGUAGGGUUUUUAGUUAUUUCUUUUGUUAAUUAUUGGAGGAAACAUCUAAUAGUGGUGAAAAACUAGGAGGGAAAAAUGACAAAAUUGUUUUCAAUUAGUAAUUUUUACGUGCAAAUUAUUUUUAUUGUCGGUAAAAAAUAAAUUUUAGUGGCCAAUGUUUAUGGGCCAGUAGUAUCUCAAUGUAAAUAAUUAAUUAGUGGCAAUUGACUUAUUAUCAUUAAAUAAUUAUCGCUAAAAGGCGCCUUUUUGUAGUAGUGUGAGGUUCAUAUGCAAGGCAAUACUAGCAAUACUAAUGUGGGAAUUGUGGAAAAGGAGAAAUGCAAGAAGGCAUGGAAAGGAAAUUACUUUUUAUAAGCUAGAGCAAAAAUGUCAGACCAUAAUAACACAGCUUAUAAGAAGUAAAUACCCGUGGAUAACAGUUCCUAAAGGGUGGGACACAAUUGUAGAGGUACUAAGAAGAUACAGGCCAAGAUUGCACUAUCACGCUGUGAGGUGGAUAAAACCGCAACAAGAUAAAUUUAAGUGCAACACGGAUGAAGCUAGCAGAGGUAACCCACCCUGGAGUAAGUUCUUACAGUUUCUGUAUUCGAGAUUACAAUUAAAGCUUGAUAUAUGCUGAAGCAGAUGCUUUAGGGGAUAGAAACACUAUGAAAGCAGAGACGAUAGCAAUUCUACAGGCACUUAGUUAUUGCAAGAGAAACAAUCUUCAAAACAUCAUUGUGGAAACAGAUUCGUUAGGAAUAACAAAAAUGCUUAGACAGGAAUGGAGGAUCCCAUGGGGCCAGGCAGAUGACAUACAAGAGAUAUAAGAGUUACAACAACAUGUUCAGGCACACAUACAACAUGUAUUCAGGGAAGCAAAUAAUCUAGCAAAUGAGGCAUGUGACCUAGAGGGGAAGAUUCAGACGCAAACAUAUCAACAACUAUGUAAAGGAAUUUUAAAUACUGAUAAAGCCCAAAUACCAUCACUGAGGAUUAGAACAAGGAAGAUUACAGUACAUGGGCAACAUCAUGAGUAGAGAAAGGAAUAAUAACAAAGCAGAACACAGAUAUGAUAUGUACAAUCAGUUUUGCCAAUACAAGGCAUACAUAACUGUGCAAAAGACUACGCUACAUAGCAUGAGCUUUCUCAACUUACAAAUUCCACCAGCAAAAGUUGAUGCCUUCAAAUUCAGAUGGUAUCUGGAGCUGAAGAAGAGAGCACGCUUCUUGGAAUCUCCUUCUCUGCCUCAGCUGGAAAUAAGGAGAUUAGAGGUGGAUGAGAGACGGCAAAAAGAGAACAGAGAAGAAGGAACUCACUCACUUGGAAUCUCUUAUACAGGAAGAUGCAGAUUUGGAGAAAGGAAGAGCUGAGGAGAAGCAGAGGCGGAUGAAUCCACAACACAAGCUCAACAGGUGAACAUAUUGAAGAAAGAGCCGGACCAAAUAGGGUUAAUUU
rnacentral:lncRNA from 1 species